GAUGAACGCUAGCUACAGGCUUAACACAUGCAAGUCGAGGGGAAACGACAUCGAAAGCUUGCUUUUGAUGGGCGUCGACCGGCGCACGGGUGAGUAACGCGUAUCCCACCUGCCCAUCACUUGGGAAUAACCUUGCGACAGUAAGACUAAUACACAAUGAUCUCCCACGAAGGCAUCGGAAUGGGAUUAAAGAUUUAUCGGUGAUGGAUGGGGAUGCGUCUGAUUAGCUUGUUGGCGAGGUAACGGCCCUCCAAGGCAACGAUUAGUAGGGGUUCUGAGAGUAACGUGCCUGACAGUGGAACUGGGAAACGGUGCAAACACCUACGGGAGGCAGUAGUGAGGAAUAUUGGUCAAGGGGCUAGAGCCUGAACCAGCGAAGUAGCGUGCAGGAAGACGGCGCUAUGGGUUGUAAACUGCUUUUAUAAGGGAAUUAAGUGGGUCACGUGUGACUUUGUGCAUGUACCGUAUGAAUAAGGACCGGCUAAUUCCGUG
rnacentral:rRNA from 1 species